UGGCUCUGGCAUCGAUGAAGAACGCAGCGAAAUGCGAUAAGUAGUGUGAAUUGCAGGCUUUAGUGAAUCAUCGAAUCUUUGAACGCACAUUGCGCCCCUUGGUAUUCCAUUGGGCAUGCCUGUUCGAGCGUCAUCUACACCCUCGAGCCGAGCUCGGUGUUGGGCGCCUGUCUGCGCUGCAGACUCGCCUCAAAUCCAUCAGCGGCGGCCUGGCUAGCGUCCCACGCAGCGCAUGCGUACAGGGCCAGCUUGCCCAGGUGCCACGGAACAUCAGGAUUUGACCUCGAAUCAGGUAGGGAUACCCGCUGA
rnacentral:misc_RNA from 1 species